UAUUAUUGAACAAUUUUCUAUUCCAUAACAUUUGUAGGCUUAUCCAGGCUAUCAGACCGCUACAUCACCAAUGACUAUUUGUUUGACACAUUGUAACAGAUAUAUUUUAUUCAUAGAAAUGCCACAUAUUUACAUACAUAUUAAAAAAAAAAACUUGGACCAACAGUGUCCACAUCAGGUGCCAUUUUCACAGUGGAUUACUUCAGAGUGAUUUAUGUGUGCAUUGAUUUCGCCUCAUGAUACAAAAAAAUAAUAAUACUGACAGGGCAAUAACUUUCAACGGCAGGAUGUGCAGUUGUUUCCAGCCUUGUAUUCACAA